UCNUGGGAUAACACUGACGCUCAUGCACGAAAGCGUGGGGAGCAAACAGGAUUAGAUACCNUGGUAGUCCACGCCCUAAACGAUGUCUACUAGUUGUCGGGGAUUAAUUUCCUUGGUAACGCAGCUAACGCGUGAAGUAGACCGCCUGGGGAGUACGGUCGCAAGAUUAAAACUCAAAGGAAUUGACGGGGACCCGCACAAGCGGUGGGUGAUGUGGAUUAAUUCGAUGCAACGCGAAAAACCUUACCUACGCUUGACAUGUCCGGAACCCUGAAGAGAUUUGGGGGUGCUCGAAAGAGAGCCGGAACACAGGUGCUGCAUGGCUGUCGUCAGCUCGUGUCGUGAGAUGUUGGGUUNNNNNNNNCAACGAGCGCAACCCUUAUCAUUAGUUGCUACGCAAGGGCACUCUAAUGAGACUGCCGGUGACAAACCGGAGGAAGGUGGGGAUGACGUCAAGUCCUCAUGGCCCUUAUGUGUAGGGCUUCACACGUCAUACAAUGGUCGGUACAGAGGGUUGCGAAGCCGCGAGGUGGAGCCAAUCCCAAAAAACCGAUCGUAGUCCGGAUUGCAGUNU
rnacentral:rRNA from 1 species